CGGGGGGAGCAAGCGUUGUUCGGAUUUACUGGGCGUAAAGGGCGCGUAGGCGGCGUAACAAGUCACUUGUGAAAUCUCCGGGCUCAACCCGGAGCGGCCAAGUGAUACUGUUGUGCUAGAGUGCGGAAGGGGCUACUGGAAUUCUCGGUGUAGCGGUGAAAUGCGUAGAUAUCGAGAGGAACACCUGCGGCGAAGGCGGGUAGCUGGGCCGACACUGACGCUGAGGCGCGAAAGCCAGGGGAGCGAACGGGAUUAGAUACCCCGGUAGUCCUGGCCUUAAACGAUGGAUGCUUGGUGUCCGGGGUUACAUAGUCCCCGGGUGCCGGCGCUAACGCAUUAAGCAUCCCGCCUGUGGAGUACGGUCGCAAGGCUG
rnacentral:rRNA from 1 species